UGCCUCAGUAACGGCGAGUGAAGCGGCAACAGCUCAAAUUUGAAAUCUGGCUCCUUCGGGGCCCGAGUUGUAAUUUGCAGAGGAUGCCUCGGGUGCGGGUUCCUUCCGAGUUCCCUGGAACGGGACGCCAUAGAGGGUGAGAGCCCCGUCAGGUCGGAAACCUAGCCCGUGUGAGGCUCCCUCGACGAGUCGAGUAGUUUGGGAAUGCUGCUCUAAGGGGAGGUAUACUCCUUCCAAAGCUAAAUACCGGCUGGAGACCGAUAGCGCACAAGUAGAGUGAUCGAAAGAUGAAAAGCACUUUGAAAAGAGAGUCAAAUAGCACGUGAAAUUGUUGAAAGGGAAGCGCUCGCUACCAGACUUGGGUCCGCGGCUCACCCGGUGCUCCGCACCGGUGCAUUCCGCGGGCCCAGGCCAGCAUCAGCUCUCCGUCAGGUUCAAAGGCUUCGGGAAUGUAGCUCCCCCUCGGGGGAGUGUUAUAGCCCGUUGCGUCAUGCCUCUCGGGGGGCUGAGGUUCGCGCAUCUGCAAGGAUGCUGGCGUAAUGGUAGCUAGUGACCCGUCUUGAAACACGGACCAAGGAGUCGACCUUAUAUGCGAGUGCCCGGGCGUUAAACCCCAGCGCGGAAUGAAAGUGAACGUAGGUAGGAGCUUCGGCGCACUACCGACCGAUCCUGAUGUCCUCGGACGGAUUUGAGUGAGAGCAUAUAGGGUCGGACCCGAAAGAAGAUGAACUAUGCGUGUGUAGGGUGAAGCCAGAGGAAACUCUGGUGGAGGCUCGCAGCGGUUCUGACGUGCAAAUCGAUCGUCAAACAUGCGCAUGGGGGCGAAAGA
rnacentral:rRNA from 1 species